GAUGAACGCUGGCGGCGUGCCUAAUACAUGCAAGUCGAGCGAACGGACGAGAAGCUUGCUUCUCUGCUGUUAGCGGCGGACGGGUGAGUCACACGUGGAUAACCUACCUAUAAGACUGGGAUAACUUCGGGAAACCGGAACUAAUACCGGAUCAUAUUUUGAACCGCAUGGUUCAAAAGUGAAAGCCGGUCUUGCUGUCACUUAUAGAUGGAUCCGCGCUGCAUUAGCUAGUUGGUAAGGUAACGGCUUACCAAGGCAACGAUGCAUAGCUGACCUGAGAGGGUGAUCGGCCACACUGGAACUGAGACACGGUCCAGACUCCUACGGGAGGCAGCAGUAGGGAAUCUUGCGCAAUGGGCGAAAGCCUGACGGAGCAACGCCGCGUGAGUGAUGAAGGUCUUCGGAUCGUAAAACUCUGUUAUUAGGGAAGAAGAUAUGUGUAAGUAACUGUGCACAUCUUGACGGUACCUAAUCAGAAAGCCACGGCUAACUACGUG
rnacentral:rRNA from 1 species